rnacentral:rRNA from 1 species
GAUGAACGCUGGCGGCGUGCCUAAUACAUGCAAGUCGAGCGAACAGACGAGGAGCUUGCUCCUCUGACGUUAGCGGCGGACGGGUGAGUAACACGUGGAUAACCUACCUAUAAGACUGGGAUAACUUCGGGAAACCGGAGCUAAUACCGGAUAAUAUAUUGAACCGCAUGGUUCAAUAGUGAAAGACGGUUUUGCUGUCACUUAUAGAUGGAUCCGCGCCGCAUUAGCUAGUUGGUAAGGUAACGGCUUACCAAGGCAACGAUGCGUAGCCGACCUGAGAGGGUGAUCGGCCACACUGGAACUGAGACACGGUCCAGACUCCUACGGGAGGCAGCAGUAGGGAAUCUUCCGAAAUGGGCGAAAGCCUGACGGAGCAACGCCGCGUGAGUGAUGAAGGUUUUCGGAUCGUAAACCUCUGUUAUAGGGAAGAACAAAUGUGUAAGUAACUAUGCACGUCUUGACGGUACCUAAUCAGAAAGCCACGGCUAACUACGUG